UACGUAGGGUGCGAGCGUUAAUCGGAAUUACUGGGCGUAAAGCGUGCGCAGGCGGUUCGUUAAGUCAGAUGUGAAAGCCCCGGGCUCAACCUGGGAACUGCAUUUGAAACUGGCGGGCUUGAGUGCGGCAGAGGGGGGUGGAAUUCCGCGUGUAGCAGGUGAAAUGCGUAGAGAUGCGGAGGAACACCGAUGGCGAAGGCAGCCCCCUGGGCCGACACUGACGCUCAGGCACGAAAGCGUGGGGAGCAAACAGG
rnacentral:rRNA from 1 species